rnacentral:rRNA from 1 species
UACAGAGGGUGCGAGCGUUAAUCGGAAUUACUGGGCGUAAAGCGUGCGUAGACGGUCAAGUAAGUCGGGUGUGAAAGCCCCGGGCUCAACCUGGGAAUUGCAUUCGAGACUGCGUGGCUAGGGUGCGGAAGAGGGAAGCGGAAUUUCCGGUGUAGCGGUGAAAUGCGUAGAUAUCGGAAGGAACACGAGUGGCGAAAGCGGCUUCCUGGUCCAGCACCGACGUUCAGGCACGAAAGCGUGGGGAGCAAACAGG